rnacentral:rRNA from 1 species
UACAGAGGUCUCAAGCGUUGUUCGGAUUCAUUGGGCGUAAAGGGUGCGUAGGCGGCGCGGUAAGUCGGGUGUGAAAUCUCGGAGCUUAACUCCGAAACUGCAUUCGAUACUGCCGGUGCUUGAGGACUGGAGAGGAGACGUGGAAUUUACGGUGUAGCGGUGAAAUGCGUAGAUAUCGUAAGGAAGACCAGUGGCGAAGGCGG